AGAGUCACGACUUUGAUUAUUGGGUUUUAUCAAAAAGGAAUUCAAAUUAAAUUCCAAGCAUCAAAACGUCGUUCUAACAGUUGACAAACAUCUGUUAACGAUGACGUUGAAGACGAAAUAUAAAGUUUGGGUAUGUAAUUUAAUUUUUUUUAACGUUUAUGUAUAAAAUUAGCACUGCGUGUUGUACAGUUUAAAAAAUGUUCUUUGCAAAUUGUUGUGGUCAAAAAGGACCCUUUCCCGUCUUUUACAUCAGAUAUAUUUGAUUUAAUCAAGUUAAAAAUGAAAUCUAAUUAGACAAUAACUAUCUCCUUCAUAACCCUUACCCUUGGAUCGGCAAACUAACGUUUUUUACAUGCAUCAUAUUCACACUGGACACAACUUUACCCUUAACACGAGAAACCACGACGGAUGGCUCUAUCUGUAACUCUCUAGAAUCCAUCAAAUUUUGCAUCCAUUUAAUGUGCAAGAAAAUACACUCGCAGAGAAUGGAACUCAGAUCUUGACUAGACUUUCAGAUGGCACGUGGAUGAAGUAGGAUGGAUUGCUUUUUUGGCAUUUUUUUUUUCUUCCACGAACAAGUGUGAAUAACUAUGUAGUUUAUUUUUGUGUUUCUUAUUUCGGAAGUCCCGAUUUGCUUGGUUUCCAUACAUUUUAAACAGCUUUGGAAUCUUGCAUGAUUAUAAAGAUUUACUAAAUAUCAAUUCACGAGCUAAAAUCGGGAAACUUACCGGUUCUUACGAAUAAACAAGUAAACUAAUAAAUACAUAACACUUUUGAUUGGAGAUUGAUCAAAUUAAAUAACAGAAAGAGCGAAGUUUGGUUUUAAGAAAAUUCCAAAUCAUCAUUUUCAAUAAAAAAGUAUAUAUUCAUAUUAUUCUAAAGGUCUUUUUAGUCAUUUAACGAUGGUUACACAAAACCCUAUCUCCAACUCUGUUAUAUGUAGAAUCAAGUGGCUUGGAAAAAAGUUUGAUAAAAAGAGAUCUGCAAAGGAUUUUGGUAUGAAACAAGUUUUUGAAAGAAGAUAAUAAGAGGAUACAUCUCAUCAAAAAGAUUUUCCUUCAAGAUAAUUGCCAUCCCUUGCCUGAAGCAAGGUUUGAACCCGGGUUCAGAGAGCGCAACCACCUUUGGAGAGCAACUUCUCAAACAG